AGAUUUCUACAAGGGGACCUGGAGCUGGGGAAUGAAGAAACCUCUUAUGUUGCCACAUAUUAGCAGGACCUUGAGCGCUGACACAAAGGGAAUAUAAAGUGGAUCAGCUGUAAAAUAACUGCCUCUGGAAUGGAGAGUGUUGCUGAUGGCUUUGCCAUGUGUGCUGAACCUGCAGUCUCCUGUAUAGCCCUGAAGGUAACACCCAUCUCAGGGACACAGUGGGACACAAGAGUUUGCUGGGGAAAGAACGGGACUUUUCCUUUCCAAGUAAAAGUACUUUUAUGAGGAAUUAAAACCAGUGACUAAUUUAUCCA